UACGUAGGCAGCGAGCGUUGUUCGGAGUUACUGGGCGUAAAGAGUGCGUAGGCGGUUUUCUAAGUUUGGUGUGAAAUCUCCCGGCUUAGCUGGGAGGGUGCGCCGAAAACUGGAAGGCUUGAGUAUGGGAGAGGUAAGCGGAAUUCCUGGUGUAGCGGUGGAAUGCGCAGAUAUCAGGAGGAACACCCAUAGCGAAGGCAGCUUGCUGGGACGUUACUGACGCUAAGGCGCGAAAGCGUGGGGAGCGAACCGG
rnacentral:rRNA from 1 species